rnacentral:rRNA from 1 species
CUGCAUGGUUGUCGUCAGCUCGUGCCGUGAGGUGUCGGGUUAAGUCCCAUAACGAGCGCAACCCUAUUGUUAGUUGCCAUCAGGUCAUGGCUGGGGACUCUAACAAAACUGCCCGCGUAAGCGUGGAGGAAGGUGGGGAUGACGUCAAAUCAGCACGGCCCUUACGUCCAGGGCUACACACGUGCUACAAUGGCCGGUACAGAGGGCAGCCACUUGGUGACAAGGAGCAAAUCUCAAAAGCCGGUCUCAGUUCGGAUCGGAGUCUGCAACUCGACUCCGUGAAGUUGGAUUCGCUAGUAAUCGUAGAUCAGCAAUGCUACGGUGAAUACGUUCCCGGGCCUU